GGGCCCGCACAAGCGGUGGAGCAUGUGGUUUAAUUCGAUGAUACGCGAGGAACCUUACCAGGGCUUAAAUGUAAGUUGCAUUAGCUAGAGAUAGCUAUUUCUUCGGACUACUUACAAGGUGCUGCAUGGUUGUCGUCAGCUCGUGCCGUGAGGUGUCAGGUUAAGUCCUAUAACGAGCGCAACCCCUGUUGUUAGUUGCCAGCGAGUAAUGUCGGGAACUCUAACAAGACUGCCGGUGCAAACCGUGAGGAAGGUGGGGAUGACGUCAAAUCAUCACGGCCCUUACGUCCUGGGCUACACACGUGCUACAAUGGUCGGUACAGAGAGCAGCCACUACGCGAGUAGGAGCGAAUCUAUAAAACCGGUCUCAGUUCGGAUCGGGGUCUGCAACUCGGCCCCGUGAAGCUGGAAUCGCUAGUAA
rnacentral:rRNA from 1 species